GCCAGAACAAGGUUCAGGGAGAGCUUACUCUUGUAACAACCUUCCCACAAGAACUACUGGGGUCCUGUGGGAACCACCUGAUCCCUUCUGAGGGCAACGCCAGUGUCCUAAGGAUAACCCAUUAGGCCCUGCCCCUUAAAGGUUCCAACACCUCAACAUCACUACCCUGGGGACCAAACUUGGAACACAUGAACCUGUGAGAGACAAGCCACAGCUAAACCUGUGCAGGCGCAACAGAUUCCAUAAAAAAAGAUUAAAUACAGACACAGUAUGAAGAAACAAUAAUACAGAGCCAUAUGUGAAGGUUAUAAUUUAGCUGUUUCCAAUCUGUUUCUGCAUCUAAUAAGAUACCAGGGUGGAGUGACCCACAAGCUCACAUGGUCCUAGGUGCUUAGCAACUUGUAUUUUCUAAUAAAAUGGAGAACUGCCUUGACUGUACAAAGCAAUCCACGGUGAAAGGACUUCCCUGAAUGCCUCAGUGGAAAGAAGAGGUGUUCGGAUUUUCAGGGGCCUUCUUGCUCCUGCCUCUGCAAGACAAGCGCAUCAGAAGGGCCCAGAAAACUCAGGACAAAGGUGUGAGAGAUAUGCCUGCGACCUCAUUCUUCUUACCUUUCCUUCAUUGAAGCGUGUGCCAGACAACCUUUAAUCAUAGUCUCAAGCUGAUAAACUGAAUUGAGAAACAAUUUAAAACGGAGAAGCCAACUCAAUCAAAACAAAGGGAGAAAAGAGCUUAAACCCUCAAAGUUUAUGUUUUCUAUCAAACCUAAGGAUACAUUAAUGGUUAAUCCCCAGAAUAUGCAACAGAAUCCUUUUUGAAGGAUUCAGGCAGCAGGUGGCUGAGUGUUUUAUUAGACUACACCUAUUCACAUAUUGUUCUCAAAACCCCUUUUCUUCAUUCAAUCACAAAGGGACCAUCUGCUUCUUCUUUUAUUUGUAUUUCUCUCUCAGUUAAAAAAUUUCAUCCAAAGCUUUUUAACAGUUGUCGGACUAAUACAGGGAAAGAGAUGCAAAACAACUUGCCGUUAGAAAACACAGAGAGGGAAAAGUGUAAGACAGAGCAAAUAUGUUUUAAUUGAAAAGUCUAUUAACUGGCAAACAAUAAUCAGACUUUGGGGAGAUUCUUUUAAUUCACUAGUAUGGUGAAGUGUUGACUUUUAAUCUUAGCAAAGCUAUUAAAAAUUCAAGGACAGAAUCUGUGAAGUAUAUAGCUAUAUCUGGUAAACAAAAAGCAUUAUAUGCGAAGAUUUAUUUUUAGCUUAUCUGGUGAAUUCAAGAGCAGCAUAAGCAAGCUUUGCUGGAAGUGACCAAAAAAAGCAACUUAAUUAAUCUUGUGGUUGGCUCUGCAGCAGAGUCCAUCCAUGGAUUUUAACCACUGAGAAAUCAAGAGUUGUUUUUUUAAAUGAACCAUUCUCUAUUUGCUUGCCCAAAGCUUUUGAAGGCAUGAUUUACUUAUCUUAAACUCAGCAGGGUGAUUAGAAUGCUGGUUUUUAAAGAUAUUUCCUUAGAGUUUUAUUCAUGUUUGUGUUUUCCUUGUGUAAGGACUCAAAGACCAAACCUACUGUCAAAUGUCCUCAGUUCUCAAUAUUGGCUAAGAAUUUAUUUUCCAGAUGACAAAGAUUUCAAACCAAUGUCCACAUCUACUCUCACCCAAAUAGUGGAGAAAGACAAACUUUGGAAUGACUGUAAGCAAAUCAUUGAAACAUAGAUAAUGCAGCCAGACUGGCUGACACAGAUGGACUAGAUUUCCAGUAUUAACAACUGGUUUGUGGGAAAUAAGGUUAUCUGAACAGACACCACUAGAUCUGAAAUUGUUCCUUUAACUGGCCAUUUGAGAGUCUAGUCCUUGCUAGGCAGAAUUCUUCUUUAUCCAGACCUUCCUAGAAUUCCAACAUGGAGUCUCAGGGGCUUUAGUGUCUUCAUUUCCUGUGGUCCUGCCAUAUUCUCCAGCAUUCUGGAUUUCCUGCCCUAGUGAUAAGUGUGCUGCUGGGCAAAGAGCAGGAGAAUAUACUGGGAGCCUGGUGUUCACUUCCUUUAUUAAGGCCCCAUGGUGAAGGCUGUUGAUUUUUGAGGACCUGAGAUCAGUGUUUGAAGUACUUAACUGGAUAUUUUCAGGGCCUAGCCCAUAGUAGUGGCUCAAUAAAUCAUGUUUUUCUGUAAAUAAAGUUUGGUACAGACUAUUUGAUAUUACUGUUAAAAAGGCACAUGGUAGAUCAAUGUGUAAAUGCCAGGGCUUUCCUAUAUUUUUAAUGCAAAGUUCUCCCUAUUGAAUUUUUGUACAGCCAACAAAAUGUAACUUAAAAGCAAACAGGUAUGAAAACAAAGAAUAAGUGAAAAUAUCUUGA